rnacentral:rRNA from 1 species
UACAGAGGGUGCGAGCGUUAUUCGGAAUUACUGGGCGUAAAGCGCGCGUAGGCGGCUUUGCAAGUCGGUUGUGAAAUCCCCAGGCUCAACCUGGGAACUGCAUUCGAGACUGCAUUGCUAGAGUAUGGGAGAGGGAAGUGGAAUUUCCGGUGUAGAGGUGAAAUUCGUAGAUAUUAGGAAGAACACCAGUGGCGAAGGCGGCUCACUGGCCCGGUACUGACGCUGAGGCGCGAAAGCGUGGGGAGCAAACAGG